rnacentral:rRNA from 1 species
UUCAGGCACANUACGGUAGCCAACGMYWMCKMSCSYKKCCACACCCCCACGGGUCUACAGCAGUGAUUGAUAUUAAACAUAAGCGAAAGCUUGACUUAGUGAUAAUAGCACAAGGGCCGGUAAAUUUCGUGCCAGCCACCGCGGUUAUACGAAAGGCCCAAAAUAAUAGCCAACGGCGUAAAGCGUGGCCAGAACAAACCAAAAUUAAGGAUAAACAUCUUCUCCGCUGUGAAACGCCCAAGAAGACAAGAAUAUUACCACCUUAAACCCCUUUAACUCCACGAAAGCUGGGACACAAACUGGGAUUAGAUACCCCACUAUGCCCAGCCAUAAACUUAGAUAGAAAAAUACCAUCUAUCCGCCAGAGAACUACAAGCAAAAUACUUAAAACUCAAAGGACUUGGCGGCAUUCCACAUCAACCUAGAGGAGCCCGUCCAAUAAUCGAAAACACGCGCUCAACCCUACCAUUUUUGGCCACUCCAGCCUAUAUACCGCCGUCGUCAGCUAACCUUGUGAAAGAAAAGUAGUAAGCACAAUAACCCUCGCUAAAACGUCAGGUCAAGGUGUAGCUAAUAAAAUGGUUGCGAUAGGCUACAUUUUCUAACAUAGAAAAUAACGAACAUUACAAUGAAAUCUUGUAAUAGAAGGCGAAUUUAGUAGUAAAAUGAGUAAAUGAUCCUCAUUUAACGCCG